rnacentral:lncRNA from 1 species
AUGUCUCAAACUCUACACCAAGACUCCGUGGCAGAGCCCACUGGUGGUGGGGAGCGGGGAGGGGGAACGGGGGUGGGUAAAGUCAGUGGGGAACCUGGCCAGGAGAGGUGAAGCCCUGGACAAGAAGCUGGAGAAAGGGGGCUUUGACAAGACUUAUGUGGUCCUUGGCCACUUCUGCUAAACAAAGAUGAAAACGUUUCCCAAGAAUGGCUGAAAGACACAAGGAGUGCCAAUGCCAAGCAGGCUGGGUACUUCUUUGGGUGCCUUCGAGAAAGCUGUGAUGCUGUCUCGUAA